rnacentral:rRNA from 1 species
AAGUCGAACGGAAGUCGUUGUAAUGAAAUGGAAAUGGACAGAGAACUUGUUCGAAGAAAGUUGAAGUAGACUUACAACAAUGGCUUUAGUGGCGGACUGGUGAGUAACGCGUAAGGAACCUGCCUUUUAGAGGGGAAUAACAAUGAGAAAUCAUUGCUAAUACCGCAUAUGCCGAGAGAAUCACAUGGUACAAUCGGGAAAGGAGCAAUUCGCUAAAAGAUGGCCUUGCGUCUGAUUAGAUAGUUGGUGGGGUAACGGCCUACCAAGUCGACGAUCAGUAGCCGGACUGAGAGGUUGAACGGCCACAUUGGGACUGAGAUACGGCCCAGACUCCUACGGGAGGCAGCAGUCGGGAAUAUUGCGCAAUGGAGGAAACUCUGACGCAGUGACGCCGCGUAUAGGAAGAAGGUUUUCGGAUUGUAAACUAUUGUCGUUAGGGAAGAGAAAGGACAGUACCUAAGGAGGAAGCUCCGGCUAACUACGUGCCAGCAGCCGCGGUAAUACGUAGGGAGCGAGCGUUAUCCGGAAUUAUUGGGUGUAAAGGGUGCGUAGACGGGAAGAUAAGUUAGUUGUGAAAUCCCUCGGCUUAACUGAGGAACUGCAACUAAAACUGUUUUUCUUGAGUGCAGGAGAGGUAAGUGGAAUUCCUAGUGUAGCGGUGAAAUGCGUAGAUAUUAGGAGGAACACCAGUGGCGAAGGCGACUUACUGGACUGUAACUGACGUU